UGGCUUUGCAUGCAGGAGGUUCUUUGAAACUUUUCUGGAUCUGUCAGUCUGGUUCACAGAAAACUGGUUUUAUCAGUAUUGGUCAUGGCAGGAAAACGGUAGAGUUGAGGUGUUUUUCCUCCGUCACGGAGACAGAGCUGAGGUUUUCGACAGCCCGUGUGAUCUAAUCCAAGCUUCGAGGAGGGAUGGCCACAUCCCAGGGCCCAGCUGGCCACUGGAGGCUGAUGGUGAUUGUGGAGACUGCAGGUGGAGCCCUGCCCCAGGUUUCCCAGUAUCAGUGAAACCUGCCAACCAGGAAGAAGACUGUUUAUCCUUUGAGGAUGUGGCUCUGUACUUCUACUGGGAGGAAUGGACACUGCUUGAUGACUCUCAAAGGAUCCUGCACCAGACGUUGAUGUCAGAAAUAUGAACACUCAUGUAUUUACUUGACUUAUGCCUUCUGGGAUCCAUGGGAUUACUCAGCUGGAGUCUUGGGGAGAGCCCUCUGUGCCUGCGUUGAGAUUCCUGACUCCAGGUUGUUGGAUCAAAGCGGAGAGUGAAAUAUCACCCUUUGAGCAGAGUCUGUCUUCAGAAGGUGCCAGGCCAUCCACCCUACAACAGCACAUGCUGUGCUGUGCUCAGACACCCUUGCUAAGCAUGGACAAUGUGAUGAUCCUCCAGACCUCCUAUGGUCUUCUAAGGCAUCAAGUGACUUACACUAUUGGGGAUACCCCCAUGAACACUGAGAGUAGAGAGGCCAUUCAGAGAGAGAAGAAGAACUGCAUACGCAGCAACAGUGGCACAUUUUACUAGCACAUCCCACCUCAAUCAACACCGGAUGAUACACACUGGAGAAAAGCCUUUUAAGUGCAGGGAGUUUGGCAAGUCCUUCAGCCAAAAAGUCUUUCUCGUGAAGCAUUUCAGAAUUCACAUCGGAGAGAAGCCUUUCAGUUUCAGUGAGUGUUGCAGAACCUUCAAGCACAACUGCUUCUUUGUUGCUCAUCAGCGAGUUCACACAGGAGAGACACCUUUAUAUGCAAUAAAUGUGGCAAGUCAUACAUGAACA